rnacentral:rRNA from 1 species
AUUGAACGCUGGCGGCAUGCCUUACACAUGCAAGGUCGAACGGCAGCACGGGAGCAAUCCUGGUGGCGAGUGGCGAACGGGUGAGUAAUAUAUCGGAACGUGCCCAGUCGUGGGGGAUAACGCAGCGAAACGCUGUGCUAAUACCGCAUACGAUCUAUGGAUAGAAAGUCGGGGGAUCGCAAGACCGUCGCGCGAUUGGA